GCCUGGGUGGCUCAAUCGGUUAAGCAUCUGACUUCGGCUCAGGUCAUGAUCUUGUGGUCUGUGGGUUUGAACCCCACAUCGGGCU
rnacentral:tRNA from 1 species